GAACCAAACCAGUUCCGUUGCUUCGAAGUGGUGGCAGCGCUCUUCGCUCGCUCCGCUACCGUCUCCGUCAUCCCUUCUUGGAUGUCCUCCUGAGGCGAAGAAUCGAAAGCCGACCCAAAAGAGAAGGUUCCGGAACCAGACCCGCUCCGUAUUGCUCUCUAGUGAUGGCAGAGCUCUUCGCUCGUUCGCUCGCUCGCUCGCUCCUCUACCAUCUCCGUGACCCCUUCUUGGAGGCCCUCCUCAGGAAGGUUCUCGAAGGACUACGGAGAGUCGGCUGAGAUGAAGACGACAAUGGUUUAUUUAUUUCAGAUGAAGAAAAUUAUUCUCAAUUUCUCAUGUCGAGUCUCCCGGGUACAGGGCUCCAGGCAAUUGGCACCAUCAACUCCAUAAAGCUGAAUUCAGACUGUCAACAUAGACU